CCCUUUUUGUGUUGCCUCCUCAAUAUUCUGCCAGCACCACUACAAGGCCCACUUUCUCAUCCGUCCCCUUAUCUCCAUUCACACACUUUCUCAUCCGUCCCCUCCUCCCCUUCUCUCCAUUCACACACUUUCUCAUCCGUCCCCUCCUUUCCUUCUCUCCAUUCACACACUUUCUCAUCCGUCCCCUCCUUCCCCUUCUCUCCAUUCACACACUUUCUCAUCCGUCCCCUCCUUCCCUUCUCUCCAUCCAUCACAUCAGCUGCAUUAUGACAUAAUGCCCUACUUGGCUUCCCUACCCUUGGUCAGUCCCUCUCCAGUCCCUCCAUCACCCAGCUGCCAGUAAUAUCCUAAAGUUUCUCUGUCCUCCCUCAUCUACUGAAAAAGAAAAGAAAAAGCAAAAUUACAAAUAUUUUUAGUCAUGGAAAAUAAAUCUUUACAUUAGCCAUGUUCAAAAAAAGGAAAAAAGGAAGAAAAAAAUGGAAAAGAAGAUCAGAAAAUAGGCCGCCCUCUGAGUCCAUCAAUUCUCCAAAUGGAGAUGCUGCGUGCCCCAGAAGGGAACAUUUCAGAGUUAGGAUUGUCUGCGAUGCAGAGCACCAGGAGCCAUGCCGAAACUGGGACACACAAGGGAGAAGUGAUGAGCCCCAGAACCUCCCCACACCUCACCAGGAGCAUCAUCAAACUAGUCUUUUUGACUCCAUGAGUACACACUUGCACCCUGAGGUCACAAUUUCCCUCACAGAAGAAUCAAGGGUGAAGGAUGUCCAAGAAGCAGCCUGAUGGAGCGUAACGACCCUGGACUCAGAGUCAACAAAGCCUCUCUGCUCCAGCUCCCCACGGAACCUUGCUGGCAAAGGGCACUGAAAAGGGAAAAGACUUUGUCUCUUUCUGUCCUCCCAAAGCCUGGCAGGGAGGAACUUAAUAAAUCCUGAGACUGACAAGCAACUGGAUAAAAAGGAGUUACUGUUAUUGCCUCUCCAUCAACUAAAAAGAACUAGCAGUUUUAGAAACGCACACCUCCCUCUCCCAGGGUAUUGCUUCUGAAUCCCCCCGCUCCCUGCCCUCCCCCCCCAAUCAAGUCUGUCUUGCUGGCCCUGCGUGUGCUAAUCUGCACCCUUAACAGGCGAAAUGGCCUCUGCAGGACUUGUCACAGGCAGCGAGGCUCUCAGGCCUGCUUCCCCCGACCCCUCCCAACCCCCUGCUCCCUAAGUGGCAUAGGCUGCAGCUUCUAACAAUGUUCGAAGUUCUCAGGGACCAUGAGGACCCCAGACACUGCUUCAAGAUGGACAUCCUGUCCAUCCUUAGGGCCCUAACCUCCUUCAGAAAGCCGCCUAGAAGCCCUUGCACAGGCCCCUCUGAAUUCUGCCAAGUGUCUGCAGCUCAUUCAUCCGCCUUCCUAAGAGCUCUGUGUGAGGAUUCCAGGAGCAUUGAAAGGUUUGCAGAGUGCUUCAUAUCCCUGGUCUCUCAGGUUCUUCACAAAAGACAGCACAGCUCUUUGCACAUUAGCCAGCGAGUCCCAGGAAUGUGCCAGCAGCCCCUCCCCACAGCUGGAAUGUCCCUGCCUCCGGAGACCCCACCUCAUCCCAUCUCACCAAACUGCUCUGUGAAAGCUGUCCUAAUCCAAGGCCUACCACACUGUCUCUAGCUAGCCUCUUACACCAAUUCCCCUGGCCUGUCCUCCCAUGUGUGAAUCCCUUCUUCCCCAGCUCCUUCUACCGUCCGCCCUGGGAACAAUAAUCAAAUCACCAGGAUUCUGGGUAUGAUAAGGGACUGCCUCCAAGAUUCCAGUCUCUAUUCCAUCAUCUUGGUGAUUUCUGAAACAAAAACUCCUUUCUUUGCCAUGUCUACUUUGUCUCCCCUUAGGAAGCUAGGAUAUGAGUUCCCAAAAGACAAGAGACCAUUCUCAUUUAGUUUGUGUACCCUUGACAUCGAGCAUUGCUUAGCAUGUAUUAAGUACUGAGUAAAUGUUAAUUCAUUCAUUCAUUUAUUCAUUUAGAUGAUCAUGGAAAAUGUUUCUAUUUUCUUAAAGCUUUCUAUAAAAGCAAAGUCAAGAU